UGGAAAGGUUGCAAACAACACUACUGAAAGUAUUCGAACUCUCCACAAUGAAACCUCCUUACUUGAACACACCGAUCUGAAUUUCUACCUCAGCGUGUACUCAGGUUUGACCAUAGCUGCUGUUGUCUUUGGAUACGCGAGGAGUUUAGUGAUCUUCCAUGGCCUCGUCCGAUCCUCCCAGUGUCUCCAUAACAACAUGUUCAGUGCUGUCCUUCGCUCACCCGUCCGCUUUUUUGACAUCAACCCCAUUGGAAGAAUUUUGAAUAGAUUUUCCAAAGACAUUGGCCAAAUGGACUCUAUGUUACCUAUAACCUUUGUGGAUUUUUAUCAGUUAUUUUUGCAGAAUCUUGGUGUAAUUGCUGUGGCUGCCUCCGUAAUCCCGCUCAUCCUUAUUCCUGUCACAUUUCUUCUUAUACUGUUUUUAUAUUUGAGGCGUUUCUACCUCCAGACCUCUCGGGAUAUUAAACGUCUUGAGGCUACCACCCGUAGCCCUGUGUUCUCCCACCUGUCCUCGUCUCUUCAGGGUUUGUGGACAAUCCGAGCGUUCCGAGCUGCCGACGGGUUACAGACGCAGUUUGAUUCAUAUCAGGAUGUCCACUCAUCGACCUGGUUUUUGUUCUUGAUGACGUCCCGUUGGUUUGCACUAAGACUCGAUGGAAUUUGCUCAGUCUUCAUCACCCUAACGGCAUUUGGCUGUAUUUUACUUAGAAAUGGUUUGCACGCUGGAGAGGUGGGCCUGGUGCUGACGUACGCUGUGACUCUGGUGGGCAACUUCCAGUGGACGGUCAGACAAAGCGCCGAAGUGGAAAACAUGAUGACCUCAGUGGAGAGAGUGGUGGAGUACACAGAGCUGGAGAGCGAGGCACCAUGGGAAACCGACAAGAAACCACCUCCUGAUUGGCCGAAACAUGGCACUGUGACUUUCAACAGAGUAAACUUCUGCUACAGUGAGGAUGGGCCCCUUGUGUUGAAUGAUCUCAGCUUCAGCUUGCAGCCCAGUGAAAAGGUUGGUGUAGUGGGCAGAACAGGAGCUGGGAAGAGCUCUCUGGUGUCUGCUCUGUUUCGUCUUUCGGAGCCAGAGGGAAAGAUUUAUAUCGAUGGAGUCCUGACGUCAGAGCUUGGCCUCCACGACCUGCGUCAGAAGAUGUCCAUCAUUCCUCAGGAUCCAGUGUUGUUCAGUGACACUGUGAGGAAGAACCUGGACCCGUUCUGUCAGCACACAGACGGAGAGCUGUGGAAUGCUUUGGAGGAGGUGCAGUUGAAGAGUGUGGUGGAGGAUCUGCCCGGGCGUCUGGAGACUGUCCUGGCUGAGUCUGGCUCGAACUUCAGUGUGGGCCAGAGGCAGCUCGUGUGUUUGGCCAGAGCUGUUCUCAGGAAGAACCGCAUCCUGGUCAUCGACGAGGCCACAGCCAACGUGGACCCCAGGACAGAUGAGCUGAUCCAAAAAACAAUAAGAAAGAAGUUUAAAGAUUGUACAGUAGUUACCAUUGCCCACCGCCUGAACACGAUCAUUGACAGUGACCGAAUAUUGGUGCUGGACAACGGAGUGAUCCAGGAAUUAGACAGCCCCUUUGCACUUCUUCAGAACACAGAGGGAGCUUUCUUUAAGAUGGUACAGCAGCUGGGUCAGGCUGAAACCACUGCUCUCAUGGAAUCAGCCAGACAGGUGAGCUUAAGGUAACUUGAACUUUGACCUGGUAGUACUUUAAGUUAAGACACUGCUCUUUAACAGGCUGCACACCCACAGCGCCCCCAGGCUGUUGGCUGAGUGGCAUGACAUUCAUUUGCUUUUCUCUGUGAUUAACUGCAACUGAGCCAUGGACGGAGACAAACACAGGCGCCCUCUGCAGGCCACUCACGAUCUGCUAUUCUGACAAAUACAGUGAAAAGCUCCCAUUUUUAAAGCAAUUAAGAAGCCACUGAGAUGCUGCCAGUGUAUUUUUUUUACUUUUAAGUGUUUAGAAAAAAACAUGUGAUUUUACAAAGUAAGUUUGUGUCUUUAGCAAAAAAUGCACUCCAGUCUCAUAUUAGACAUUGUUAAUUCUACACGUAACGUUCGACAGAAAUUAUUCAAUAUAACAUAAAUGAUGCAUUUCAAGGGGGUCCAGAAUGUAAUCUGUCCUGUAUAAAGGCCAAAUAAAAUGUUCAAAGUGUGUCAAAUCCUUAA